ACAGGUCUAUCAAAAACAAUUAGAAAGCAAUGAUAGUAUGGGAGGAUCUGAUAGCGGAUGUUCAAUAAAAUCAAAGAGAACACCAAUUGCCACUUUACUAGGAAAGAGGCUCAAGCAAAA
rnacentral:lncRNA from 1 species